rnacentral:rRNA from 1 species
AUCAUUGAACGCUGGCGGCAUGCUUNACACAUGCAAGUCGAACGGCAGCACGGGAGUAAUCCUGGUGGCGAGUGGCGAACGGGUGAGUAAUAUAUCGGAACGUGCCCAGUCGUGGGGGGAUAACGUAGCGAAAGCUACGCUAAUACCGCAUACGAUCUAUGGAUGAAAGCGGGGGAUCGCAAGACCUCGCGCGAUUGGAGCGGCCGAUAUCAGAUUAGCUAGUUGGUGGGGUAAAGGCCCACCAAGGCGACGAUCUGUAGCUGGUCUGAGAGGACGACCAGCCACACUGGAACUGAGACACGGUCCAGACUCCUACGGGAGGCAGCAGUGGGGAAUUUUGGACAAUGGGCGCAAGCCUGAUCCAGCAAUGCCGCGUGCAGGACGAAGGCCUUCGGGUUGUAAACUGCUUUUGUACGGAAUGAAAAGGUCUGCCCUAAUACGGCGGGCUCAUGACGGUACCGUAAGAAUAAGCACCGGCUAACUACGUGCCAGCAGCCGCGGUAAUACGUAGGGUGCAAGCGUUAAUCGGAAUUACUGGGCGUAAAGCGUGCGCAGGCGGUUUUGUAAGACAGAUGUGAAAUCCCCGGGCUCAACCUGGGACCUGCAUUUGUGACUGCAAAGCUAGAGUACGGCAGAGGGGGAUGGAAUUCCGCGUGUAGCAGUGAAAUGCGUAGAUAUGCGGAGGAACACCGAUGGCGAAGGCAAUCCCCUGGGCCUGUACUGACGCUCAUGCACGAAAGCGUGGGGAGCAAACAGGAUUAGAUACCCUGGUAGUCCACGCCCUAAACGAUGUCAACUGGUUGUUGGGUCUUCACUGACUCAGUAACGAAGCUAACGCG